UAAACUACCGUAAGUCCACAUAAGAGGGUAUGGAUGUGAAUUAACAGAAUAGAGAACAAAGGACAAAGAAAAAAAGGAAUAAAGAAUAGUGAAAGAAAGAGAAUAAUGGAAAAAAGUGUUGUCAGCAAGAUGAAAAGGACAAGUAUGCAGUUCAAAAUUCAAAAUGUGGAUAAGCUGAGGUUCAAGGUCUUACCUUUGCAGAUUUUCAUAUUUUGCAUGAAUGAAUUCAAAGGUUAUAUGAUGGACGGCAGAGAAAGAAAAAAAAAAACUUUUCAAUUAUCCUGCUCCUGGAUAAAUGUAAAACAUCUUGUUUUUCGAAGGAUUGAAAUUCACCACCUAGAAUAAAUGGAGAAAACAUAAAAACAAGACCAGAAUAAAUUCAAAGACAAAAGUUGGAUCAGUUAUUAUUUUCAACACUCAGUCAAUGAUUUGAAGUUCUUUUAAAUACAAAAAAAUAUUGAAACCACAAUAAUGUCAAAGUUCUGUGCUGAAUGACCAAAAAGUGGACUAUACCAUCAAACAAUGCUGGAUGAUAAGAAACUAUUAAUGUUUUGUGUUGAGGGAUAUUGUGAAAAAAAAUAGAUUUACUUAAAUA